rnacentral:rRNA from 1 species
UACGUAGGGGGCAAGCGUUGUCCGGAAUUAUUGGGCGUAAAGAGCGUGUAGGCGGUCCGGUAAGUCAGCUGUGAAAGUCAAGGGCUCAACCCUUGAAUGCCGGUUGAUACUGUCGGGCUAGAGUCCGGAAGAGGCGAGUGGAAUUCCCGGUGUAGCGGUGAAAUGCGCAGAUAUCAGGAGGAACACCGGUGGCGAAGGCGGUUCUCUGGGCAUUACCUGACGCUGAGGAGCGAAAGCGUGGGGAGCGAACAGG